UAGGACUCCCGAACCUCAGUGCAAAGCUAAUAAUCCUAGAAAUAGGCGGUGUGUGUGACACACUCAGCCACUCUGUUUCUGCCUCUCUUCACCAUACACGCCCAGGAGGAUGAACAAACCCGCUAGAGAAUAUGAGAACUGCAUUUAAUGUAACUUUUUAAACUCUUUUUUUGUUUUGUUUUCUGUGGGAUAGUGCUCGGCUAAUGUGAUGGUAACGUGGCUCAUCAACGCCGGGGGAUUUUCAGGAACUUUUUUCACCUCGGGUGCUCCGGAUCUAAUGCUUUUACUAUUUAGAGUUGUCUUUAAAUAGCCAAUAACUGUCUAAAAUGGAUCUUUAAUUUAUGUUAUCAAGUAUAUAUAUAUAUAUUUAAAUCGCCAAUAUUUUAAAAACAUUUCAUCUGUUUGUGUCCGACAAGAGAUGAUUUAUCCGGUCAAAAUCUCGCAGAUUCAUUCACGGGCGGUUUACUGUGAACUGCCGUGUUAAAAAUGCUACUUAGAGUGUCAGUAGUUGUGCAGAUGCUCUAAAAUUUUAAACAUCUGAUUUUAACAAUUGUAUUUUGUGUUAAAACACAUCUGUCUGUCGCUGUCGUGCUGGUUGAAGUGAGAUUUACGAGCCUCAACCCACCGUUCGCGUGUUUCCACCCACCCACCGUGAACUUUCAUUUUUGCUGUUUGAGAAGGAGUUUUAUUAGUCAAUACUAGGAAGGAAAGUGUCGUUAUUGUGCUGGGAUGCGGAAGGGAGAGGAGUAGGGCUGAUGGUAAACAUGUUAAGGGUUUAAAGUGAAUGGCUCGGUGAUCAUGUCGUCUGUGGAGGCUGUUUUCUCCUGGGUGGGUGACUGGCAGUGGCUCUGCAUGGUCACUCUCUUUCUGGCCUCUGUUGUCACUUUGAUUAUAUACUUGGUGCUGUAUUUUUCCAACGAAGCUCCUUUUGGGAAAACACCUCUCAGUAAUGUGGAUUCUGAGGAAGCCGAUGGGAUUUUAUGCUGGGUGCUGUCUCUGAAAAGCUGGAAGAGUCAGUGGAGAAGAGCCUGGUUCAGGAGCCUCAAUGAAGAAGCUUGUAGAUCACAGAGUGGGAUCCAGCUGACAUUUGAAGAAGAUGGUGUUCAAUCAUCAGAACUGGCCGUGGACCAGAUUUCAAGCUUUACUAAAACACCCGGUCAAAAAAAUGUCCUGUGUCAGGUGGUUGGAAACAAGCUGCAGUUUUCUCUCAGUGCUUUACCAAGCUCAAUGUCUUCAGAAACCCCCCUGAGAUACAGUGUGAAGAUAUCUCCACUUCGUCUGCAGCUGGCCCUACAGAUGAAAGAGGUGAAUGAGGAGGUGGAGAUUUCCUGGGGGGUGCUUCACCUGGACUCAAAUUUGCACCUUACACCAAGUUUUACACAGAAUGCCCAUGACUCACUAUGUGUGUUUCAGGGAGAUUAUGAGAAUCUAAGUGAAGCCGCUGUGAACAACAGGCUCAGACAGGUCUUAAGUCGAGCUCAAGCAUCCGUAACUCUGAGCAGCCGGCCUGCAGAGUCUGCAGAAGUCAAGGAAGUAAGGAACAAGACCUCGCAGGUGACCUCACCCCCAAAGCCCCCACGAGCUCAUGAGUGGAAACUAUUAGUGAAGAACAUCCGGGUCACAUGCAAACAGGAGGAUGGUGCUGCAGGUGGCAUGAAUCCCCAGUGUAUCCUUCAGUUGGAUGAUCCUCCUCAGAAGGUCACCAGUUCAGUCUUGACUGACACAUCCACCCCUGCCUGGGACCAGCCCUUCAUAUUUGAGCUUAGCGGCCGGUCAAAAGAGCUGAACAUCCAGGUUGUGGAUAACGGCAGACCUCUGGAGAAUGGUUUGUUAGGGCAGGUAUCUGUGCCUUUUGAUCUAGUGAAGAAACACCCCAAAGGUCAACAGACGUUUUCACUCAUGACCAAAGAUCAAGUGACCGGAUCACUAACUACUGAGUUCACCUACCUGGAGCCCAGCGAGGUGCGUAGCUGGCAGAUGCCCACGCCGGCCCCUACUAAAAAAGUGGAGAUGGACCGCACUGUGAUGCCCUGUGGCACCGUUGUUACCACUGUCACUGCCGUGAGGAGCAAGCCAGGACGACCUUUAGCACCUGAAUCCAAAUCGCCUUCUAAAAACAAGCUGGCAGAGAGAAGGGUGUCGGAGCAGACGUCACUACUCGGAGCCAAAGUUAGCAAAGCCCUGUCAUCGUCAGAUACAGAGUUAUUGAUGUUAAACGGGACCGACCCUGUCGCCGAAGCUGCCAUCAGACAGCUCCAUGAGUCGGCAAAACAAAAGCUCAAAUCACCUGUCAAAAAGAGCACCAUCAUCAUCUCAGGAGUGGCCAAGGCCCCUCUGACACAGGAUGAGGAGAUGGCUCUGAUGGCAGGAUACGCAGCUGCGAUGGACGCUUCAAUGUCCGGAGCAUCUGAGGGCACCAGCAGCGAAGCAUUACCCUCAGAAACAGUGGUAGAACCCAGCGUUCUUGAACCCACAGAAUCUCUGGUGGGUGCGAAUGGCACAGACCAUGUGGAGGACUGGGAGAGCCAGGCUGGAGAGGACCCAGAUGCGGAUAAAACAUCUCUCUGUAUCUCUGAAACGGGUUCCAAAAAAGGAAAAGGCAGCUUCCUGCACAAGGGUGCCAAGCUAUUCUUCAGACGGCGACAUCAGCGAAAGGAGCCGGGGAUGAGCCAGUCCCACAAUGACCUGCAGUACUUGGAGCAUCCCGAGGCGGCCAUGAUGGGCGACAGGGAAAAGAGGACGGCCACCUUCAGGCGCAUCAUCAACCGCAAGCUUCUGCCCAGGAGCAAGAGCAAAACCAACGGCACAACCUCUCAGCUUGGUUCUGCUCCAUGAAGACCGUCUGCCUGGCGCUAGAUUUAUCUCUCCAUCCAUGUGGAGGAAUGUCAUGGGCACUUUUCCCUCCGUCGACACCAUACAGCAUUGAAAUGAGCACUCGCUCUCUUCGUCGCUCCAAAUGACUCUGUGUCAUUUAACCUUAUGCAAAUAUUGAUCGUCAUGCAAAAUAUAUUCUGCGUUUGUGGCCUUCUAACCAAAGCGGGAUUUGAGGACAACUCUUUCUUGCUAUCUACCUGAGCUUUAACCUUCUGGAAACCCUCUGGCGACCUGAUGGAUCCUGGAAUAUCAGACAUUGAUAUCCAGCAUAUUGAUUUGCACUUGUUUAUAUGCUCCGAACUCAUUCCAAAUGCAUUUGCAGGGAUGUGCAGUGAAUUCUGUGAGGUUUGGUGGUGAAGAUGCUCUGAAUUAGUUUAUUAAAAAAACAAAAAUUAUGUGAAAGACCUCUGUUUUUGAUGUGAAUUGAAUAUGGGAGUUUUCAUUUUGUUAGGGAGAAAAAUCUGCAGUUUCACCAAAUUUGACUCUGGGAAUAGUGAGUUUUAUUGUUCAGCGAAACAUUUUCAAACGGAGCAUACCAUUUAAAAUGUUCUGGUUUGGCACUGAUAUGUUUGCUUUUAAAACAGGUUUGGUUUUUUAUUCAUCUUUUAAUUUCUAAAUAUUCAAACAGAGAUGGGAAAAUAUCAAUAAAAGGUUAUUUUAUUUUAAAUAUUAUCCUUUUAAGUACACAUUAUUCAGUGUAAUGUGUAAUUAUGUGUAAGCAUGUUUGAUUGUUCACUUUUUUUCCACAGUUAUUCCAUCAUGCCUCACAUAAAAAAAAUUUUCAAAAAUUGUGUGUGAAUUGUACCAAAGGUUUUUAACACUAAGCAAGGGCAUUUUCCCAUAGAGAAAGACCAGACUGCAUGAGAAUUUAGUUUAUCAAUAAGUUCAUGAUUUAUGAGAUUUUCCCAAGUGUGCAGUCUUCUUUUACCUGUACUCUUAAGCCGGCUGUGAAUGAUAACAAGUUUGUAUUUUGGACCUCAUCUGUUGAGCCUGUGUGGAGAACUGCAGUGGAUUUGUAUUAUGGGAGAUUAAAUAACAGGCUCCGCUUGACAUUUACUUGACCUCAAACUGCAUAUGUAGAAGAAACCUGAAUGCCUGUCCAUACUGAAUGUUGCCAGAAAGAAACCUCAGCAGUCUGGCUGUUAAAUAUGUAUUUUGGGAGGACUACUGUUCUGUGUUUUUUGUUUUUUUCACUUUUGUCUAUGUUGUGUGUUGCUAUGUACAUCCUGGCUGUCACAAAAUGAAAGAGGUAUUUUCCAGUGAAAUGGAAGGAGGCACAUGAAGAUUUUAUUUUUGUCAUGCUUGAUUGGCCGGCCAGAGGUGAUCCAGUCGCUAAAUGAAAUCUAACACAUCAAUCCUCUGUAUAUGCAUAUCAUCAUAAUAUAUCCAUGUGUAUUAAAGAACUCCUCUCAUUAACUUAA